CUCAUCUCCUCCAUCGUGACUUCUCCCUUCUCACAUUCCUAUCUCCCAAAUUUCCAGACUAGGGAUUCUCGAAUGAGACGAGAACAGCGGCGGUUCUCCCUCCUCCCUCGCGACCUCUCCGGCGGAAUCGUCGUCUCUCCGGCGAAUCACCGCCUCUCUGCGUUGCCGGAACUACACCGGCUCCGCCUCCUCUCUCGAAUUCGCACCUCGUCUCCUUUCCACUCGGCGGGAUCGCGCCUCACCUGCGUCGCCGGCAAACUCGCCUCGGCCCCCCUCGGCCGAGCGUUCUUCGCCCAGCGCCGGCGGCUCCCUCUGGCUCCGUCUAGCUCUCUAUUCCUCUCUCGGCUGAAUUCGCCGAUGGCAGCCCGUCGGCUCCAAGCUCACUCCCUCCGUCGGGCUCUCUCUCCGCCGAGUUCUCUCCGGAAGGCAGCGACGCCAUCGCCCCUCUCUCCAUCUUCACUUGGCGGCGCCGACACCAGCCGCCGCCUUACUCUGCUGCCCCGGCAGCGUCUCCGCUCAGCCGGGCCUCUCGGAGCUCGUCGCUGCCCGUCCGUCGCCGGGCAGCUCCGCCCAACUAAAGCUAAGUCCUCUCCCCCCACCCCUUACUCCUUUUUCGAGUUAUGGCAGUAGCUUAUUUUUGGAAAAGAAAUUCUCCAUUGGAGUCUUGUGUGGCUUAUGGUGAUAUAUUGCUCAAAUUGAAAACUUGCUAAGUUCUUGCUUAUGAUACUAUGCCACUGAAUUCAUAUGGAGGGGGGGGGGGUAUCUUGCGGCUAUCUCUAAUUUGUAUAGCUCUAAGCUCUUGAGCUUCAACUUAGUGUUACAUGAUUGUUAUUGUUUUCAUCCUUGCUGUGAGGGUCCUAUGAAAAUUCUAAGUUCUUGUUUCUAUGAUUCUAAGUUAUUGGCUAUCUAUUGGUUGAUCUACAUGAUGCGAUGGAGAUGGGUGUUGAGGUUGUUGGGAUUACCUUAACGUAGUCGAAUCCUCCUCGGUGGUGGCUGUCCUUGCCGUCACCACUCGCUGCCCUCUCCCUCCUCCCUCGCUGCUCUUCUUAUGGUGUUGUGUGGAAUUUGUGGUGAUGAAAUGUGGUGGUGGAGGAGGUGAGGAGAGGCUGCUUAUAUGGUGCUAAUCUAUUGAAAGCUAGGUUUGAGACUUGGAGCCAAAGGCUCCUAUUUUGGGCUUGUUAGCUCUCUCACUUUCGAGCUUAAUGAUUGUGAGAUUCUUGCCGUUUUGGUGAUUGUGGCUGAUCUUCUUGGCUGAUUUCUCGGCCUUGAUCGACGGGGAGAUGAGAGUUUGUCUCAUCUUCUACUUUUGGGCUUGUGUAGGAGCUCGUUCCCCAAUGCCCCUUUGUCUCGACUCCCUUUUGAUGUUAGAAGAGAUGGUACAUGAAGGCAUUCUUGGAGCUUGUGGAGGGAAGCAAAAAAAAUCGAGAUUAAGAAAGAGAGGGAAAGAAAGGAGAUGCUCCUCUUGAGCUCAUUUGGUUCUAUUCCCAAUUUAGUUUGCUUCCAAACUCGAGAAUUUAAAGAAGUAGGAUAGAUAGUGUAGAAUAGGUGCAUGUUGAUUUUAUCACACUUGCAGGCAUGUACUAUUUCCGUCAUCCAUGUAUUUCUAUUUUUUUCACGGUGUAUCCACAUUUCUCUAAUAAAAGUAUUUUCUCCA